rnacentral:rRNA from 1 species
AACGAACGCAGGCGGCGUGGAUAAGACAUGCAAGUCGAACGGGACAGACCGAGUAGCAAUAUUUGGAAUGUUCAGUGGCGAACGGGUGCGCAACACGUGGAUAACAUUCCGGAAAGCGGGGAAUAGCCCAGGGAAACUUGGAUUAAUACCGCAUGUGGCCGCAAGGCUAAAGACGGGGACCGCAAGGCCUGUCACUUUCCGAUUGGUCCGCGGCCUAUCAGCUAGUUGGCGGGGUAAUGGCCCACCAAGGCUACGACGGGUAGCUGGUCUUAGAGGACGACCAGCCACACUGGAACUGAGACACGGUCCAGACACCUACGGGUGGCAGCAGUCGAGAAUCUUUCACAAUGGGGGCAACCCUGAUGGAGCGACGCCGCGUGGAGGAUAAGGUCUUCGGAUUGUAAACUCCUGUCAUGCGAGAACAAGGUACUCAGGCUAAUAACCUGAUUGUUUGAUGGUACCGCAAGAGGAAGAGACGGCUAACUCUGUGCCAGCCGCCGCAGUAACAC